rnacentral:lncRNA from 1 species
GUGUAUAAGAAUGUCGGUAAUUAGAAGGAAACCCUAAUUACUGUUGUACGUUGAUAAUUAGGACAAACCCUAAUUAUUAUAACCCUAAUCGGUUGAAGUUAGAGACUGUAACGACUGUGUUAGAACACACACAGAUAAUUAGAGAACCCUAAUGGUCAAUUAGAAACCCUAAUUGAUGGCGUUAAGAAACCCUAAUUUUAGAACCCUAAUUUUUCAAUCAAAAACCCUAAUUUAAAAUUAUUGGGUUUAAUUACGAUGUUAAUGUAUAAAUAUUUUAAUUUACCAAAGGAUGAAAAGUAAUUGGUAAAUGAUAAGAAUUACCAUCACACUUGCUCAUCACACUUAUUUCUUGACCACUAAGAUCACCCAUGUGAUCAUGGGUUGUCCCAUGGAUCCUCCUAAUCCAUUGGAUUCUCACUUUGGGCUUGAGGUUUAAUUAAUCCUAACUUAUACAUUGGGCUUGAAAUUAAACAAACACUUGGGCUUGUUUAAUAGUUUACAUUGGACUUAACAUUACAAAUAUUUGGGCUUUAACAUUAAUUCGUAUUGGGUUUUAGUAUUAUCCCAAUUGGACAUUACAAUAUCCUACACAUUCCUACAAAUUCAAUACAUUUGGCUUAAAGUCUCAUAACGUAUAAUUUAUAUAUUCAUCUCGUUUCUCACUCGUAUACUUAUUUAAUAUACGAUAUUCCAUCAUUCAUACAUACUCGUAUAAUACUUCAUAUUAUACUCGUAUUCAUUACC